UUAACUCAAAUUUGUAUGCAGUUGGAACAGCGCCCCUAGCGGCAAACGUUCCAACUCCAUACAAAUUUGAGUUA
rnacentral:pre_miRNA from 1 species